GAUGAACGCUGGCGGCGUGCCUAAUACAUGCAAGUCGAGCGAACAGACGAGGAGCUUGCUCCUCUGACGUUAGCGGCGGACGGGUGAGUAACACGUGGAUAACCUACCUAUAAGACUGGGAUAACUUCGGGAAACCGGAUCUAAUACCGGAUAAUAUAUUGAACCGCAUGGUUCAAUAGUGAAAGACGGUUUUGCUGUCACUUAUUGAUGGAUCCGCGCCGCAUUAGCUAGUUGGUAAGGUAACGGCUUACCAAGGCAACGAUGCGUAGCCGACCUGAGAGGGUGAUCGGCCACACUGGAACUGAGACACGGUCCAGACUCCUACGGGAGGCAGCAGUGGGGAAUCUUGCGCAAUGGGCGAAAGCCUGACGGAGCAACGCCGCGUGAGUGAUGAAGGUCUUCGGAUCGUAAAGCUCUGUUAUUAGGGAAGAACAAAUGUGUAAGUAACUAUGCACGUCUUGACGGUACCUAAUCAGAAAGCCACGGCUAACUACGUG
rnacentral:rRNA from 1 species